UACGGGGGGGGCUAGCGUUGUUCGGAAUUACUGGGCGUAAAGGGCGCGUAGGCGGUACGACAAGUCGGGAGUGAAAGCCCGGGGCUCAACCCCGGAACGGCUUUCGAAACUGUCGAACUAGAGUGCGGAAGAGGCAACUGGAAUUCCCAGUGUAGCGGUGAAAUGCGUAGAUAUUGGGAAGAACACCUGAGGCGAAGGCGGGUUGCUGGGCCGACACUGACGCUGAGGCGCGAAAGCCAGGGGAGCAAACGGG
rnacentral:rRNA from 1 species